UCCGGUUUGUCACCGGCAGUCUCAUUAGAGUGCCCUUGCGUAGCAACUAAUGAUAAGGGUUGCGCUCGUUGCGGGACUUAACCCAACAUCUCACGACACGAGCUGACGACAACCAUGCAGCACCUGAACCAGAGGUCCCCGAAGGGAAGACUUUAUUUCUAAAGCGGUCCUCUGUUGUCUAGCCCGGGUAAGGUUCUUCGCGUUGCGUCGAAUUGAACCACAUGCUCCACCGCUUGUGCGGGCCCCCGUCAAUUCCUUUGAGUUUCAGUCUUGCGACCGUACUCCCCAGGCGGCUGACUUCACGCGUUAGCUUCGACACUAAGUGGCUAAUUCCACCCAACGUCCAGUCAGCAUCGUUUAGGGCGUGGACUAC
rnacentral:misc_RNA from 1 species